rnacentral:rRNA from 1 species
GAUGAACGCUGGCGGCGUGCUUAACACAUGCAAGUCGAACGAAGUGGCGAACGGGUGAUUAACGCGUAAUCAACCUGCCCUUCAGAGGGGUACAACAGUUGGAAACGACUGCCAAUACCGCAUACUGAAGGAGGGUAUUGCGUCUGAUUAGCUAGUUGGAGGGGUAACGGCCCACCAAGGGGAUGAUCAGGAGCCGGUCGGAGGGGAUGAACGGCCAAAUUGGGACUGAGACAAGGCCCAGACUCCUGAGGGAGGCAGCAGUGGGGAAUCUUCCGCAAUGGAGGAAAGUCUGGCGGAGCAACGGCGCGGGAGUGAUGAAGGGCUUCGGGUUGUAAAGCUAUGUUAAUCGGGGCGCGGUACCGGAAGAGAAAGCCACGGCUAACUACGUGCCAGCAGCCGCGGUAAUAC